rnacentral:tRNA from 1 species
GGAGAGGUUCCCUGAGUGGUUUAAGGGGAUCCGGGCAUCGCUCGGAUGGGCUUCACGGCCUGCGCAAGUUCGAAUCUUGCCCUCUCCG